UAAUGAUAAAUUAAUUAUUUUUAUUAAUUAUUAAUACUAUGGGUAUUUUGCUAAAUUGAUUCUCAUUCACAUUCCUCAUUCUCAUUUAUUUUGCCAAGUAAACACAUCAAUAGCAUUCCAGCAUAUUCCCAUUUCCAUUAAUUUUUGUCAAAUAAACAUUGAAAUCUCAUUUUCAUUCCUCAUUCCCAUUACAGCCCAUUCACAUUCCACCCCAUUCUCAUUCACAUGAAGUAAACGCACCAUUAAUGUAUUAAAGUUGACAUUUAACAAAGAAAUUUAAAAUUGAAAGAAAUACACUAACAACUUAUUAGUUGAGUUGGUUAAUAUCUUCUCUCUUUAUAGAUUGAAACUAUUGGAAUUACUUAUAAAUAUGCGAAUGAGAAAAUAAGGUGUCCACCAACUCAACUAAGGAGUUGUUGGCAUUUAUUUUAAAUUAAUUAAAAUUAUUUGUUUUUAUUAUAGUUAAAAAUAAUGUAUAUGUGUGUAUAUUCAAAUCCAUUCUAAUUUUAGAAAAAUUAUGAGAAAUCCACUCCAAAAAAAAAAAAAAAAAGAAAAGCUCUAGUAAAUUUUCAAGAAGAAUAUUCCCACAAGCAACUAGAAAGACAAAAGACUUGAAACAUUAUCUCAAAGUUGAAAAAUCGAGGUCAGAAUCAAUCAGUGUAUAACUCACUUACAAUAUCAACAAUUGGCGAUCAAUUGAUAGUAUGAGUUUCAUACCCAAAAAAAAUGUAGUCUAGUAAUAAGUUGUUUACCCAUUUUUACAACAUUCCCCUAGUAGUUGAGUGGUAAAAACCACUUCUUCCCAAUUCUCACCUAUCCCUGGAGAACCCUUCCUUUCUAAAAUUUGACGAAUAUUGUAGUGUAUAUAUAUAUAUAUAUAUAUAUAUAUAUAUUUAGUGAAUAAUUAGUGCUCUCCUUCCAAAUUAUAGUCUGUCUAUUUCAAAUUUAGAAUUUUAAAGAGUAUAACUAGAUCAAUCAUUAUAAUACAAAAGUUUUGUACCAGUUGGAAAAAUAUAUUAACUUUGAUGGCAAAUUACUUCAAAAGAGUCAAGGAGAAUCCCGAUUGAACAUCAAAUAUGUUAUGUGUAUUUUGCAUGAAGGUACCUUUUGUUGAUAUGAUCAGAGCACAAAUUCUUCUUCAUGUGCCUACUUCAAUGUUAUCAGUUUGUUCAUUUAUUUAUUGUAGUGGAUGAUUGUAAAUUGGUAUGAGUAAUGUGUGUUGUCGUUGUUGGACUAUAAUUUAAGUUGUAAAGACAUUUUAUUUUUUAAUCUAGAAUCCUAAAUUUAUUGAUAGAGUGGGUAAAAACGCUUGGGCUAGCUUGAUCCAAGUUUGCGGGUUUUAAACUCGGCCUGAAUCAUGAGACCAUGAAUAUAAGUAAAAAAAUUUAAAAAUCUAAUUAAGAGUUUAUGGAAAAAGUCCGAGUUUU
rnacentral:lncRNA from 1 species